UACGUAGGGUGCAAGCGUUAAUCGGAAUUACUGGGCGUAAAGCGUGCGCAGGCGGUUUUGUAAGUCUGUCGUGAAAUCCCCGGGCUCAACCUGGGAAUUGCGAUGGAGACUGCAAGGCUAGAAUCUGGCAGAGGGGGGUAGAAUUCCACGUGUAGCAGUGAAAUGCGUAGAGAUGCGGAGGAACACCGAUGGCGAAGGCAGCCCUCUGGGCUAACACUGACGCUGAGGCACGAAAGCGUGGGGAGCAAACAGG
rnacentral:rRNA from 1 species